rnacentral:rRNA from 1 species
UCAUUCUUACAACAUAGCGUUAAUGCACUGGAUCCCAUUAGAAUUUCGUAGUUAAGCACGCUCAUGCUAGAGUAGUACUGGGAUGGGUGACCUCCCAGGAAGUUCUAGUAUUUUACAUGCC